rnacentral:rRNA from 1 species
AACUUGCUCUCUGGGUGGCGAGUGGCGGACGGGUGAGGAAUACAUCGGAAUCUACUCUGUCGUGGGGGAUAACGUAGGGAAACUUACGCUAAUACCGCAUACGACCUACGGGUGAAAGCAGGGGACCUUCGGGCCUUGCGCGAUUGAAUGAGCCGAUGUCGGAUUAGCUAGUUGGCGGGGUAAAGGCCCACCAAGGCGACGAUCCGUAGCUGGUCUGAGAGGAUGAUCAGCCACACUGGAACUGAGACACGGUCCAGACUCCUACGGGAGGCAGCAGUGGGGAAUAUUGGACAAUGGGCGCAAGCCUGAUCCAGCCAUACCGCGUGGGUGAAGAAGGCCUUCGGGUUGUAAAGCCCUUUUGUUGGGAAAGAAAUCCAGCCGGCUAAUACCCGGUUGGGAUGACGGUACCCAAAGAAUAAGCACCGGCUAACUUCGUGCCAGCAGCCGCGGUAAUACGAAGGGUGCAAGCGUUACUCGGAAUUACUGGGCGUAAAGCGUGCGUAGGUGGUCGUUUAAGUCCGUUGUGAAAGCCCUGGGCUCAACCUGGGAACUGC